ACCACGCCUCCUCCAAGUCCCAGCGAGUCCGCGUGCAACCUGUCCUGACUCUAGCCGCCUCUUCAGCUCGCCAUGGAUCCCAACUGCUCCUGCGCCGCCGGUAAGAGGCUGGGGAUGCCCAGUGUAGACUGUAGCGCUAGAGAAGCAAUUUCUGACCCCUCUUUCUUUCUCUGGUCACUCAAUUUCAGGACAGGAGUAGCUCCUUCCCAAAGAGUUUUGGGGUAUCUUUCUCUCCAUUCUAGGUUAUUCGGAGCCCCCUUUUUACCGUUAAGGAGAUCUGAGUUAAUGGCUUGCUCAAGUUCCCAGGAAUCGGUUGUGGACAGAGGAACUCGGCCCCAGGCUCUUAGUACGCCGUCCCUCGUUCAGGUAUCCAGGGACCGUUCUCACCUCUGUCUUUUCUCCUUGCAGGUGACUCCUGCACCUGCGCCGGCUCCUGCAAAUGCAAAGAGUGCAAGUGCACCUCCUGCAAGAAAAGCUGCUGCUCCUGCUGCCCUGUGGGCUGUGCCAAGUGUGCCCAGGGCUGCAUCUGCAAAGGGGCGUCGGACAAGUGCAGCUGCUGCGCCUGAUGCUGGGACAGCCCUGCUCCCAGAUGUAAAUAACGCGACCUCUACAAACCUGGAUUUUUAAUGUACAACCCUGACCCUGACCGUUUGCUGUAUUCCUUUUUCUAUGAAAUAAUGUGAAUGAU
rnacentral:sRNA from 1 species